CCCAGACUCCUACGGGAGGCAGCAGUGGGGGAUAUUGCACAAUGGGGGGAACCCUGAUGCAGCGACGCCGCGUGGGUGAAGGAGCGUUUCGGCGCGUAAAGCCCUAUCGGCAGGGAAGAAGGAGGACGGUACCUGACUAAGAAGCCCCGGCCAACUACGUGCCAGCAGCCGCGGUAAUACGUAGGGGGCAAGCGUUAUCCGGAUUUACUGGGUGUAAAGGGGGCGCAGACGGCAGCGCAAGCCAGGAGUGAAAGCCCGGGGCCCAACCCCGGGACUGCUCUUGGAACUGCGCGGCUGGAGUGCAGGAGGGGCAGGCGGAAUUCCUGGUGUAGCGGUGAAAUGCGUAGAUAUCAGGAGGAACACCGGUGGCGAAGGCGGCCUGCUGGACUGCGACUGACGUUGAGGCCCGAAAGCGUGGGGAGCAAACAGGAUUAGAUACCCGCGUA
rnacentral:rRNA from 1 species